rnacentral:sRNA from 1 species
AUGUACCCAUGUACAUCUUCCCCUUCAAGAUCUUAUGGCGAUUUUGAGGAAGAAUGGAUCAAACUAGGAGAGGAGUCGUAUGUAGGGAUCUUUGAGUCAGGAAAUUCUCCAGAUGACCCUUACGAGCCCAAAGUUAAAACUGGAGUAAAAAGGAAAAUAAGUGAGUCUGAAGACUCGCUUAUUCUGACCCGGAGAAAAAUGAGCAAAACCACAGAAGAAAAUGACGAUGUGUUCCCUUUUAAAAACCAAGAAAUUGAGAAAGAAGACAUCGUUUUAACGAAAUUUAGGAGGGACAACCCAACAAAAUAUAAAGCCUUGGAAGGCAGAUUUUUGGGAAAUAGCCCCGCAUCUCCCAUCUCUAUUGCAUCCAGCCCCCUGCAUCGCCCAAAAACUGCAACAUGCCAUCCAACCCACCCUUGCCAAUCUAUAGCCCAUCAUCGCCCAGCGACGUGUCAUCCAACACUGCAUUGCAAAUCAGCGUACCAGAAUUGA